rnacentral:rRNA from 1 species
CCAUUGAUCCGGAGAUAUCUGAAUGGGGCAACCCAAUGGAGUUCAUACUCCAUUAUCCAAUACUGAAUCCAUAGGUAUUGGAAGGGAACCGCCUGAACUGAAACAUCUAAGUAGGGCGAGGAAGAGACAUCAAACGAGAUUCCGUAAGUAGUGGCGAGCGAACGCGGAAGAGGGCAAACCGGGAGUAGAAAUACUUCCGGGGUACGGACUGCUUUUAGGACUUAAUCUGUUAACCGAACGGCAUGGGAAGGCCGGUCAGAGAGUGUGAGAACCACGUAGGUGAAAACGGAGAGAGCUGCGCAGGAUCCAGAGUACGGCCAGACACGUGAAACCUGGUCGGAAUACGGGGGGACCACCCUCCAACCCUAAAUACUACCCAGUGACCGAUAGCGUAUAGUACUGUGAAGGAAAGGUGAAAAGCACCCCGGGAGGGGAGUGAAAAAGAACCUGAAACCCUGUGCCUACAAGCACCUAGAGCACGUCAAUGUGUGAUAGGGUACUUUUUGUAGAACGGUCCGGCGAGCGAUUGUAUGCAGCAAGGUUAAGGACUUAAGGUCUGGAGCCGAAGCGAAAGCGAGUUUGAAAAGGGCGUUAAGUUGCAUAUAAUGGGCCCGAAACCGGGUGACCUACCCAUGGUCAGGUUGAAGUGGAAGUAAAAUUCCAUGGAGGACCGAACCGACCUCCGUUGAAAAGGCGGCGGAUGAACUGUGGGUAGCGGAGAAAUUCCAAUCGAACCCGGAGAUAGCUGGUUCUCCCCGAAAUAGUUUUAGGACUAGCCUCAAGUUAGAUACCUGGAGGUAAAGCACUGAAUAGCCUAGCGGCCGAGAGGUUAGCGAAGCUUAUCAAACUCAGAAUGCCAGAGUAUUGAUGCUUGGGAGUCAGACAGUGUCAGAUAAAUGUCAUUGUCAAAAGGGAAACAGCCCAGAUCUACAGCUAAGGUCCCAAAGUCAGGUUAAGUGGAAAACGAUGUGAAGAUACGCAGACAACCAGGAUGUUGGCUCAGAAGCAGCCACUCAUUCAAAGAGUGCGUAAUAGCUCACUGGUCGAGCGUCUUUGCGCGGAGAAUUUAACGGGGCUAAACCUGACACCGAAGCUUAGGCAAUCCAGUAAUGGAUUGGGUAGGGGAGCGUUGUAUACGCGGAGAAACAGUAGCGUAAGCGGCUGUGGAGUGUAUAGAAGUGAGAAUGCCGGAAUGAGUAGCGCGAAUGCAGUGAGAAUCUGCAUGGCCGAAAGCCUCAGGUUUUUGGAGGAAGGUUCGUCCGCUCCAAGUUAGUCGGGAGCUAAGGUGAGGCCGGAAGGCGUAGCCGAUGCACAGACGGUAGAGAUUCCGUCACCACCAAAAGAGUUAAGCACAGGGACACAUUUGAAGUCUCAGAGCCGGGUGUUGGUUCCGGUAGAGAUCGAGGGAAAUUAGUACCGAAGUCUGGGAUGGAAGAUGGCGAGAAAAGCUGUGUGUAUUUCUGAGGUGCCCGUACCGCAAACCGACACAGGUAGGUAGGAAGAAGAUUCUAAGGCCAACGGGAGAAGGGUUGUUAAGGAACUCGGCAAAUUGACCCCGUAACUUCGGGAGAAGGGGUGCUCCAGAGAUGGAGCCGCAGAGAAUCGGCCCAAGCAACUGUUUACCAAAAACACAGGUUUGUGCUAAAUCGAAAGAUGACGUAUACGAGCUGACGCCUGCCCGGUGCUGGAAGGUUAAGAGGAGAUGUGCAAGCAUUGAAUCGAAGCCCCAGUGAACGGCGGCCGUAACUAUAACGGUCCUAAGGUAGCGAAAUUCCUUGUCAGGUAAGUUCUGACCCGCACGAAAGGCGUAAUGAUUUGGGCACUGUCUCAACAGCCCGCCCGGCGAAAUUGUAGUACCGGUGAAGAUGCCGGUUACCCGCGACAAGACGGAAAGACCCCAUGGAGCUUUACUGUAGCCUAAUAUUGGGUUUCGAUGUUGCAUGCACAGGAUAGAUGGGACACUAGGAAACAAUCGCUUUGGCGGUUGCGGAGUGGCCGUUGGGAUACCAUCCUUGCGAUAUUGGAAUUCUAACCUGCGGCUCUGAAUCGAGUCGGGGGACAUUGUUAGGUGGGCAGUUUGACUGGGGCGGUCGCCUCCUAAAAAGUAACGGAGGCGUUCAAAGGUUCGCUCAGCUUGAACGGAAAUCAAGCAAAAG